GGGGACCCGCAAGCGGUGGAUGAUGUGGAUUAAUUCGAUGCAACGCGAAAAACCUUACCUACCCUUGACAUGUACGGAAGCCUGAAGAGAUUCGGGUGUGCUCGAAAGAGAGCCGUAACACAGGUGCUGCAUGGCUGUCGUCAGCUCGUGUCGUGAGAUGUUGGGUUAAGUCCCGCAACGAGCGCAACCCUUGUCAUUAGUUGCUACGAAAGGGCACUCUGAUGAGACUGCCGGUGACAAACCGGAGGAAGGUGGGGAUGACGUCAAGUCCUCAUGGCCCUUAUGGGUAGGGCUUCACACGUCAUACAAUGGUACAUACAGAGGGCCGCCAACCCGCGAGGGGGAGCUAAUCCCAGAAAGUGUAUCGUAGUCCGGAUCGCAGUCUGCAACUCGACUGCGUGAAGUUGGAAUCGCUAGUAAUCGCGGAUCAGCAUGUCGCGGUGAAUACGUUCCCGGGGUCUUGUACACACC
rnacentral:rRNA from 1 species